GACGAACGCUGGCGGCGUGCCUAAUACAUGCAAGUAGAACGCUGAAGGAGGAGCUUGCUUCUCUGGAUGAGUCGCGAACGGGUGAGUAACGCGUAGGUAACCUGCCUGGUAGCGGGGGAUAACUAUUGGAAACGAUAGCUAAUACCGCAUAAUAGUAGAUGUCGCAUGACAUUUGCUUAAAAGGUGCAAUUGCAUCACUACCAGAUGGACCUGCGUUGUAUUAGCUAGUUGGUGAGGUAACGGCUCACCAAGGCAACGAUACAUAGCCGACCUGAGAGGGUGAUCGGCCACACUGGGACUGAGACACGGCCCAGACUCCUACGGGAGGCAGCAGUAGGGAAUCUUCGGCAAUGGACGGAAGUCUGACCGAGCAACGCCGCGUGAGUGAAGAAGGUUUUCGGAUCGUAAAGCUCUGUUGUAAGAGAAGAACGAGUGUGAGAGUGGAAAGUUCACACUGUGACGGUAUCUUACCAGAAAGGGACGGCUAACUACGUG
rnacentral:rRNA from 1 species